AUGUCGUCCGCGCCGGCGCCAGGCGGGGCGUUCGACCGCUACGUCCAGCGCGGCGGCGCGGUGGCGGUGCCGGCCUCAAGCGGCAACACGGUUUUCAAGAGUGGACAUCUCUUCAUAUCAUCCAAAGGACUUGGAUGGAAAUCAUGGAAAAAACGCUGGUUCAUUCUCACACGAACAUCAUUAGUUUUCUUCAAGAGUAAUCCUAAUACCUUGCCCCAGAGAAGUGGUGAAGUGAGUGCUACUCUGGGUGGGAUUGAUUUAAACAAUUCUGGCAGUGUGGUAGUCAGAGAAGACAAAAAAUUGUUGACUGUCCUUUUCCCACAUGGUCGUGAUGGUCGUGCCUUCACCCUUAAGGCAGAAACUUCUGAAGAUUUAUUUGAGUGGAAAGCAGCAUUAGAAGAAGCUCUUGCACAGGCUCCAAAUGCAGCUCUUGUGAUGGGGCACAAUGGGAUAUUUCGCAAUGACACUUGUGAUGCAUAUGAAACAACGGCUCCAAAUUGGCGAGAGAAAAGGCCAGUCAAGUCACUAGUUGUUGGCAGGCCAAUUCUGCUUGCGCUCGAAGAUAUCGAUGGCAGCCCUUCUUUUCUAGAAAAAGCCAUGCGUUAUCUUGAGAAACAUGGGAUAAGGGUGGAAGGAAUUUUGCGCCAGGCUGCUGAUGUGGAGGAGGUUGAUAGGAGGCUACGUGAAUAUGAACAAGGAAGAACCGAGUUUGCACCAGGCGAGGAUGCACAUAUUGUUGGUGACUGUGUGAAGCAUGUUCUUCGUGAGCUACCAUCUUCGCCAGUACCUUCUUUUUGUUGUACAGCUUUAUUGGAAGCUUUUCGCUUGGAGACUAAGGAAGCUCGGAUAAAUGCUAUGCGUUCAGCUAUAUCUGAGACAUUUCCUGAGCCUAAUCGGCGCUUGUUACAGAGAAUCUUGAAAAUGAUGUACAUUGUUGCUUCUCAUACCAUGGAGAAUCGGAUGACCGCAUCAGCAGUUGCUGCCUGUAUGGCCCCUCUCUUGCUGCGUCCGCUUUUGGCUGGGGAGUGUGAGAUGGAUGAAGUAUUUGAUGUGGAUGGUGAUGAUUCUGCCCAGCUUCUUGCUGCUGCAAAUGCUGCAAACAGCGCUCGGGGCAUUGUUGCAACUCUCUUGGAGGAAUAUGAGAUUAUAUUUGAUGAUGACCGUCUUGUCAGAUCUUCCCUAUCACCUGGGUCUCAGAUUGAAGACAGUGGCAGUGAAGCAUCAACUGAUAAUGUAAAUAUGGACACAAAAGAUAAUGGAUUUCAUGAUGCAGAAAAUGAUGUAGAUCAAGAAAUGGACGAUGACAAUGGUGCAGAGCGUAUACUUAGUGGAAAAUUGAGUGAGAGCAGUGGAUAUGCUGGGAGCGACCUAUAUGAUUACAAGGUUCAUGCUGAUGAUUCAGACGCUGAUUGCUUUGUUGAUGAUAAAGGAUUGGAAGAAGAGACAGAUUUAAGCAAAGUUCCAAAAAUUCAUUCAUCUGAAAAUGGUUCAAAAAAUAUGGAAAUGCCUCCGAGUGAAAAGAAUCCUUCCAACCCAACAUCCGGUCAUGAAACUCCAUUGUCUAUGGGAGAGAUUCUUUCUUCUUUGGAUCCUGGAAUUACUUUACCUAGUAACAGUUCGGAAUAUUCUGCAGACAGACACUCGAACAAAACUAAUGGAUCUCACUCACAUGUGAAGCGCAGUAACUUUUGGGGGCGUAAUAGUGCAAGAAAGAGUCAGCAUUCAGAAUCAGUCGACUCAUCUGGUGAAGAAGAGCUUGCGAUUCAAAGGCUUGAAAUUGCGAAGAAUGAUUUGCAGAACAGAAUUGCCAAAGAGGCUCGGGGUAAUGCAGUUUUACAUGCGAGUUUAGAAAGAAGAAAGCAAGCACUACAUGAACGCCGUUUGGCCCUGGAACAGGAUGUGUCCAGGUUGCAAGAGCAGCUACAAGCUGAGAGAGAUCUUAGAUCUGCACUGGAGGUUGGGUUGAGCAUGUCUUCUGGACAGUUUUCAAGUCCACGUGCUAUGGACUCAAAGACAAGGGCUGAGCUUGAGGAGAUUGCUCUCGCUGAAACUGACGUUGCGAGGUUAAAACAGAAGGUGGCUGAACUUCACCUCCUACUCAAUCAACAACGCCAACAACAAUAUGGCCCAUCUCUUGAUGCAAAUGAUCGUUAUCACUGUAAUCCUGGCCAUUUUUCACAGCAAAACUUUGUUCAACCAGGAUUUGACAUGAACCUUGCCUUUUGCAAUCAAGAGAAGCACAGAAAUGAGGAGAGCUCGGUGGAUGCAUCUCAAUGGAGGAACAUCAAACAGCAUGUGCUACCUUUUGGUUCUUCAAGGCCACUAACCCGCAAGCUUUCCUUAGACACAUCUUCAAGUGAUUCACGAGGCAUGGAGGCAUCAACAAGCAUGUCAUCAGAGAACACUUCUGUGGUAAUCAAUGUUCCCAAAUUAGCUGAGGGUGUUGGAUAUGGGAGGCAGCCAAUGGUGGCAUCCUCCACUUUGGUAGAACUAACAACUAGGCUAGAUUUCUUUAAAGAACGGAGGUCGCAGCUGAUGGAACAACUCCAUAGUCUUGAUUUAGGGCAUGGAUCUGCUUCUCAGGGUUUUGAGUACAAGCCGCCUUCUCCUUGGAACAGUCCAAGGUAG
rnacentral:rRNA from 1 species